rnacentral:rRNA from 1 species
UGGGGAAUAUUGCACAAUGGGCGCAAGCCUGAUGCAGCCAUGCCGCGUGUAUGAAGAAGGCCUUCGGGUUGUAAAGCACUUUCAGCGGGGAGGAAGGCGUUAAGGUUAAUAACCUUGGCGAUUGACGUUACCCGCAGAAGAAGCACCGGCUAACUCCGUGCCAGCAGCCGCGGUAAUACGGAGGGUGCAAGCGUUAAUCGGAAUUACUGGGCGUAAAGCGCACGCAGGCGGUCUGUCAAGUCGGAUGUGAAAUCCCCGGGCUCAACCUGGGAUCUGCAUUCGAAACUGGCAGGCUAGAGUCUUGUAGAGGGGGGUAGAAUUCCAGGUGUAGCGGUGAAAUGCGUAGAGAUCUGGAGGAAUACCGGUGGCGAAGGCGGCCCCCUGGACAAAGACUGACGCUCAGGUGCGAAAGCGUGGGGAGCAAACAGG